rnacentral:tRNA from 3 species
CGGGGAGUAGCUCAGUCUGGUAGAGUGUCUGCUUUGGGAGCAGAAAGUCGCAGGUUCGAAUCCUGUCUCCCCGACCA